rnacentral:rRNA from 1 species
UGCCUCUAGCUUGCUGGGCGGAUUAGUGGCGAACGGGUGAGUAAUACGUGAGUAACCUGCCCUUGACUCUGGGAUAAGCCUGGGAAACUGGGUCUAAUACUGGAUACUACCUCUUACCGCAUGGUGGGUGGUGGAAAGGGUUUUACUGGUUUUGGAUGGGCUCACGGCCUAUCAGCUUGUUGGUGGGGUAAUGGCUCACCAAGGCGACGACGGGUAGCCGGCCUGAGAGGGUGACCGGCCACACUGGGACUGAGACACGGCCCAGACUCCUACGGGAGGCAGCAGUGGGGAAUAUUGCACAAUGGGCGGAAGCCUGAUGCAGCGACGCCGCGUGAGGGAUGACGGCCUUCGGGUUGUAAACCUCUUUCAGUAGGGAAGAAGCGAGAGUGACGGUACCUGCAGAAGAAGCGCCGGCUAACUACGUGCCAGCAGCCGCGGUAAUACGUAGGGCGCAAGCGUUGUCCGGAAUUAUUGGGCGUAAAGAGCUCGUAGGCGGUUUGUCGCGUCUGCUGUGAAAGCCCGGGGCUCAACCCCGGGUCUGCAGUGGGUACGGGCAGACUAGAGUGCAGUAGGGGAGACUGGAAUUCCUGGUGUAGCGGUGAAAUGCGCAGAUAUCAGGAGGAACACCGAUGGCGAAGGCAGGUCUCUGGGCUGUUACUGACGCUGAGGAGCGAAAGCAUGGGGAGCGAACAGGAUUAGAUACCCUGGUAGUCCAUGCCGUAAACGUUGGGCACUAGGUGUGGGGGACAUUCCACGUUUUCCGCGCCGUAGCUAACGCAUUAAGUGCCCCGCCUGGGGAGUACGGCCGCAAGGCUAAAACUCAAAGGAAUUGACGGGGGCCCGCACAAGCGGCGGAGCAUGCGGAUUAAUUCGAUGCAACGCGAAGAACCUUACCAAGGCUUGACAUUCACCGGACCGCCCCAGAGAUGGGGUUUCCCUUCGGGGCUGGUGGACAGGUGGUGCAUGGUUGUCGUCAGCUCGUGUCGUGAGAUGUUGGGUUAAGUCCCGCAACGAGCGCAACCCUCGUUCUAUGUUGCCAGCACGUGAUGGUGGGGACUCAUAGGAGACUGCCGGGGUCAACUCGGAGGAAGGUGGGGAUGACGUCAAAUCAUCAUGCCCCUUAUGUCUUGGGCUUCACGCAUGCUACAAUGGCCGGUACAAAGGGUUGCGAUACUGUGAGGUGGAGCUAAUCCCAAAAAGCCGGUCUCAGUUCGGAUUGAGGUCUGCAACUCGACCUCAUGAAGUCGGAGUCGCUAGUAAUCGCAGAUCAGCAACGCUGCGGUGAAUACGUUCCCGGGCCUUGUACACACCGCCCGUCAAGUCACGAAAGUUGGUAACACCCGAAGCCGGUGGCCUAACCCCUUGUGGGAGGGAGCCGUCGAA